AUUAUUUAUACUUCAUUUUUUUAAUUUAAAUUAAUUUAUUUUAAUUGGAGGCUAAUUACAAUAUUGUAUUGGUUUUGCCAUACAUCAACAUGAAUCCACCACAGGUGUACACGUGUUCCCCAUCCAUCCUGAACCCCCCUCCCACAUCCCUCCCCGUACCAUCCCUCUGGGUCAUCCCAGUGCACCAGCCCCAAGCAUCAUUUCUAAAUUACUUAUUGAGUGUGUAGUGUAUAUGCUGGGGAUAAGAUAAAAGGGUUUUCUCUAGACUGCCUGAGCUCAGGCUUCCCAGGUGGCGCUAGUGGUAAAGAACCCGCCUGCCAAUGCAGGAGACAGACUGACAGAGAACUAACCUGCUGGCCAGGGGUCAACUAGAAACAAAUUUGUUAGCUCCACCCUGAGGGUGGGAAGCUGGGGCCCAAGCUUUUCUCUUCUCUUGCAGCUACUUUCAUCAAUAUUUCCUCUGCAGCUGAACGGGCUGGCACGCAACCUGCAAUGAGGCUCCGCUCCGAAGAUGCCCACCUCUGCUGGACCUCCUGGCUCCUGGGAUUCAUCAGUCUCCUUCUCAGUGAGUGGCCCUCUCCCCAGAUUCUGGUGGGAUCAACAUCCAUCACACCAGACUGGUGCAACGUCACCCUGGAGUGCAGAACCUCUGGCGCCACAAAAGACCUGAAUGUGACCUGGGAGAACAAGGGCAUCCCUGGAGAAUGGGAGCAGAGAAGGACAUUAGAACCAGCUUGCAGCCCAUACAUUCUGGCUGUGAGCGUGCCGAGAGGCCAGCCCAAUGCCAGCCUCGUCUGUGUGGUCAGCAACCCGGUGGAAUAUAAAACUGCCUUCUUCGACCUUGGGGGAGUCUGCAUCCAUGAUUCAGCCAACCAGGCGAAUGCUGACCUCCUGCCAGACAUCCUUAGGGCAGUCGCAGCUGUGUUAUUGAUCCUCGGAGGUGGACUGUACCUUUGGAAGAUACAUGAGAAGAUGAAGACUGGAAGAGGCAGGUUGCCCUUCUCCUUCCAGGCCCACAUACCUCUCUUUCUUCACUGGAUUCUUGACAUUCUUUCUCCUACAAAAUGUCCCUGCAGAGGGGUUAGUGGGUGUGGCCAUGGUGUGUGUCCAUAG
rnacentral:lncRNA from 1 species